rnacentral:rRNA from 1 species
GAUGAACGCUGGCGGCGUGCCUCAAACAUGCAAGUCGAGCGGGGCUAUGUAAUAUCGCAAGGUAGAACAUAGCCUAGCGGCGAACGGGUGAGUAACACGUGGGUAACCUGCCUGGAAGACAGGGAUAACGAUUCGAAAGGGUCGCUAAUACCUGAUAAUAUCCUUUCAUCGCAUGGUGAUAGGAAGAAAGGGGAAACCCGCUUUCAGAUGGGCCCGCGUCCCAUCAGCUAGUUGGUAAGGUAAAGGCUUACCAAGGCGACGACGGGUAGCCGGUCUGAGAGGAUGUACGGCCACACUGGGACUGAGAUACGGCCCAGACUCCUACGGGAGGCAGCAGUUGGGAAUCUUAGGCAGUGGACGAAAGUCUGACCUAGCGACGCCGCGUGAGGGAAGAAGGCCUUCGGGUUGUAAACCUCUGUCAUGGGGGAAGAAGGAAGUGACGGUACCCCAAGAGGAAGCCCCUGCUAACUACGUG